rnacentral:lncRNA from 1 species
AGCUACAUCCGUCACCUGACACGGCCCUACCAGGAACAGCCGCGCUCCCGCGGAUUCUGGUGCUGCUCGCGUCCCCGCUCCCCUAUUCCCCUUAUUUUAUUCCUGGCUCCCCUCGUCGAAAGUCUUCCAUUCUUCAAACUAGAUUAUUUAAAAAUGAAAAAGGAAGAAAGGAAAGCGAGGUCAUCUCAUUGCUCUAUCCGCCAAUCAGGAGGCUGAAUGUCAGUUUUGAACUAAAAGCCGCUCCGCUCCUCUUCUAGAUUUGGAAAACAAGCGAAAUUAAACUAAACCGCUGCACGCCUCUGACGCGACAUCUGGACACGGCGCGGCGCUGGCGCUGCCGGAGCUGUCGACCCGGCCUGGCGCCGGACUAGUGUCCCUUUUGAUGAGAAGAAUAAGCCUCAUUCUGAUUCAACAGCAGAGAUCAAAGAAAAGACUUCUGUUUUCUGGCCACCAGAUAUAUGUUAUCUGUGCUUAAAGAAUUGAAAAACACACAUCAAAGGAGAAUUUUCUUGGAAAGAGAGGGUUCAAGCAUCACUGUUAGGUGUGCUGGAAUCCUUUCCCGAGUCAGUACUGCUUUCUAGAAGAAAACCGGGGAGAUCUAUUUGGAAUGUAUCUAACUCCAAAGAAACCAUCAGAGGUAACAGUAGAGACGGGGUUUCACCAUGUUGGCCAGACUGGUCUUGAACUCUCGACCUCGUGAUUCGCCCGCCUCGGCCUCCCAAAGUGCUGGGAUUACAGGUGUGAGACACCACACCCGGCGGAUAGAGAGAAUUUUGACAGGUGAUGGAGGCUUUUUAUUUUGCCACAAAACCACUGGUGACGUUGCCUGUGGCCACCUUGGAGAAGACACUGGAGACAGGGUCUCACUCUGUCACCCAGGCUGGAGUGUAUUGGCAUGAUUACAGCUCACUGCAACCUUGAACUCCCAGGCUCAAACCUGAGCAGCUGGGACUACAGAUGCACCACCAUGCAUGAUUGGCUUCUCUCACAUGGCAAGAAACAUUGCUGCUAGCACUUCCCGAGUUCUACGUUCUACAACAUCCACCACUGGAUCUUAACAUAGACGUAAGAUCAAAUGCAAUAGCAUGUCAAACAAUGUGUAACUCCAGUUAUACAAACAUUACUGUAUCUCAUUGGGGAUACGAAGCUCUACACACUUGAAGAUGGUGAAGGAAUAUAAAAAUCUAUGUCUCACAGUCCAGACUUGGAGUACAAGUAAUAAGAAGAAUAAAACUUAAUCCCUUAAGUAGAUUCACCAUAAGUUAGCUCAGAGCAAUUCCAGUGCAAGUAUGGUCUGUGAUCCAGUAGUAUCUUACAGACAGCAAGUUGAACAUUGUGGGAUGCAUGAGCUAUUGAGGCCUUUGCAGCUUUCUGCUACAUGGAGGCUAGGGCCAGAGUCAAGAUUUAUGCUUUGCAGCACACUGGUCAGCUGUUUUUGCAAAUCAGAUUAAAUGAUUUUUAAAUGAGGCUGAGAGCAUGGGAGAUACUAAUGUGUGUUUCCUUGUGAGCUACUGCAUAAGUUAGGAAAUUGAAAUACAGAAAGAUGAAAAGUGAUUUGCCCAAGCAUAUAGAUCAAAGCUGUGGCAGAACCAGGACUGGAACCUAUAUCUCUCUACUAAUGGUUUUUUUAAAAAAAUAACCUUGUUUCAAAAAUAUUAAAAAGUCACAAGAAAGGUAAACAUGUGGAUAAACAAAAUGAAGAAAAUAAAAAUUAUCCAGUAAUAACAUA